GUAGGUGGCAAGCGUUGUCCGGAUUUACUGGGCGUAAGGAGCGCGCAGGCGGUCGUUCAAGUCGCGUGUGAAAGCCCCCGGCUCAACUGGGGAGGGUCACGCGAUACUGAUCGACUCGAAGGCAGGAGAGGGAAGUGGAAUUCCCGGUGUAGUGGUGAAAUGCGUAGAUAUCGGGAGGAACACCAGUGGCGAAGGCGACUUCCUGGCCUGUUCUUGACGCUGAGGCGCGAAAGCUAGGGGAGCAAACGGGAUUAGAUACCCCAGUAGUCCUAGCCGUAAACGAUGGACACUAGGUGUUGGUGGUAUCAACCCCGCCAGUGCCGAAGCUAACGCAUUAAGUGUCCCGCCUGGGGAGUACGGCCGCAAGGCUA
rnacentral:rRNA from 1 species